GCCUUGUUAGCUUGGUUGGUAGCGCGUCUGCCUUGUAAGCGCUAGGCCGUGGGUUCGAUUCCCGCCCGGGGCG
rnacentral:tRNA from 1 species